rnacentral:lncRNA from 1 species
GGACAGGAGAAGGGUCGCGGGCCAGAGGAAGGGAACCCAGAGAUGGGGGAGGGAGGGCAGUUAGCAAGGAUUAGGUGUGGCAUGCACCUGCACCGGCGCCCUGGAGAGGUGUGGUCAUCAUGCACUGCCAGCAGGCCAUAUAAACAGACAGCAAGCCAAAGCCGGGGCAGGCAGUGGUACAGCUCUCUGCCAUCAUCUGAUUUUGUUUCCUCUUGUUUUAAGAAAGACCAUUUCCUACCACAACUGCUGCUGUCCCUGCCCCUUCAAACACGAGUCACACCAGAGAUCUCCGCUGGGAUACCCGCCAUGUGUUCAGGAGUUCACAAUCUGUGUGUUGUUCACAAAUUACACACAGUUGGGACCGGAGUCCACUGCCAGAAGUUUACCUGUUAAUCUGUGGAAUUCUGCACAAGGAAUCAAGAAAUAAUGUCCCCAGGGCCAGCUGAAGAGAAUAUUCUAAAGGAUUUCAGCAUCAAAAUAGUUAAAAUAUGAAGACGGCAAAAUUUAGUUACAGAAUAAGAAAAAGAAACCCCAGGAAUCUUGGAAAGAACAACUGAAGCCCAGGUGUGUCUCGCAGCAUGUGAGGGGGAGGUUGGUGGUGGCAUGAGGGAUGGAAGGGGGGGAGCAGGAUAGGGACCUUCACACCUCCUCUGUCAUGGCCCUGCUGUCUUCAGCUGUGUAUUUGUUCUGAUGCUUUCCCUCUGACUUAUCUACUCAGAAUGUCCAAAGUAUACCUUUGAAAAAGCUAAUUCA